AAACAAGGAAUGUGUUACCUUGCUAAAGUAAUUGUGGUGAUAGAAAUGUAUUAGCCUCAGAAGCUACUGAGGUGGUUCCUUCUAUCCUAGUACAGUG
ensembl:snoRNA SNORA66 Small nucleolar RNA SNORA66